rnacentral:rRNA from 1 species
GAUGAACGCUGGCGGCGUGCCUAAUACAUGCAAGUCGAGCGAACGGACGAGAAGCUUGCUUCUCUGAUGUUAGCGGCGGACGGGUGAGUAACACGUGGAUAACCUACCUAUAAGACUGGGAUAACUUCGGGAAACCGGAGCUAAUACCGGAUAAUAUUUUGAACCGCAUGGUUCAAAAGUGAAAGACGGUCUUGCUGUCACUUAUAGAUGGAUCCGCGCUGCAUUAGCUAGUUGGUAAGGUAACGGCUUACCAAGGCAACGAUGCAUAGCCGACCUGAGAGGGUGAUCGGCCACACUGGAACUGAGACACGGUCCAGACUCCUACGGGAGGCAGCAGUAGGGAAUCUUCCGCAAUGGGCGAAAGCCUGACGGAGCAACGCCGCGUGAGUGACGAAGGUCUUCGGAUCGUAAAACUCUGUUAUUAGGGAAGAACAUAUGUGUAAGUAACUGUGCACAUCUUGACGGUACCUAAUCAGAAAGCCACGGCUAACUACGUGCCAGCAGCCGCGGUAAUACGUAGGUGGCAAGCGUUAUCCGGAAUUAUUGGGCGUAAAGCGCGCGUAGGCGGUUUUUUAAGUCUGAUGUGAAAGCCCACGGCUCAACCGUGGAGGGUCAUUGGAAACUGGAAAACUUGAGUGCAGAAGAGGAAAGUGGAAUUCCAUGUGUAGCGGUGAAAUGCGCAGAGAUAUGGAGGAACACCAGUGGCGAAGGCGACUUUCUGGUCUGUAACUGACGCUGAUGUGCGAAAGCGUGGGGAUCAAACAGGAUUAGAUACCCUGGUAGUCCACGCCGUAAACGAUGAGUGCUAAGUGUUAGGGGGUUUCCGCCCCUUAGUGCUGCAGCUAACGCAUUAAGCACUCCGCCUGGGGAGUACGACCGCAAGGUUGAAACUCAAAGGAAUUGGCGGGGACCCGCACAAGCGGUGGAGCAUGUGGUUUAAUUCGAAGCAACGCGAAGAACCUUACCAAAUCUUGACAUCCUUUGACAACUCUAGAGAUAGAGCCUUCCCCUUCGGGGGACAAAGUGACAGGUGGUGCAUGGUUGUCGUCAGCUCGUGUCGUGAGAUGUUGGGUUAAGUCCCGCAACGAGCGCAACCCUUAAGCUUAGUUGCCAUCAUUAAGUUGGGCACUCUAAGUUGACUGCCGGUGACAAACCGGAGGAAGGUGGGGAUGACGUCAAAUCAUCAUGCCCCUUAUGAUUUGGGCUACACACGUGCUACAAUGGACAAUACAAAGGGCAGCGAAACCGCGAGGUCAAGCAAAUCCCAUAAAGUUGUUCUCAGUUCGGAUUGUAGUCUGCAACUCGACUACAUGAAGCUGGAAUCGCUAGUAAUCGUAGAUCAGCAUGCUACGGUGAAUACGUUCCCGGGUCU